UACAGAGGGGGCAAGCGUUGUUCGGAAUUACUGGGCGUAAAGGGCGCGUAGGCGGCCCGCUAAGUCGAACGUGAAAUCCCCGAGCUCAACUCGGGAACUGCGUCCGAUACUGGCGGGCUUGAAUCCGGGAGAGGGAUGCGGAAUUCCAGGUGUAGCGGUGAAAUGCGUAGAUAUCGAGAGGAACACCAGUGGCGCAAGCGGCUGACUGGCCGAGACCUGACGCUGAGACACGACGGCGUGGGGAGCAAACCGG
rnacentral:rRNA from 1 species